rnacentral:lncRNA from 1 species
GUUUAGAUUAGGUCGGAAGUCACCUGGGCUGAGCUGAUGGCUGAGUCCGUCAGCAAAAAGAACCGUGGAACAUACUGGCACUUGGCCCGGUGUGAAGCCACCCCCCUGCCAUGAAAAAUGGAUCUUCCCUGGCACAGCUGGCCCAGCGGGAGCUGGGUCAGGGCCUGGAGACCCAGCGCCCCCCACCGGAGCCACUGCCCGGCCCAGCAGCACCCGCGGAGAAUCCCGCCAGCACCCACGCCUCCCCCCGCGCCACCGCCCCGGCUUUCUGCAAAUCCACCUUACGGAAGCCUGAUAAACACCUCCUCCUCUGAUGCGUCAGAGUCACAGGUCCUGGUGAGGAGGGAGCCAAGCCAAGCACGGUGGCUGGAACGGGGCAAGUGGGUGUCCACCCCGAAGUGCAGGCAAUGAACUUGUGCCGUAGCCCAUGGUGAGCUGUGGGGCUAUUUGUGACUGCAGUGUAGCCAAGCCCAUCCCACCUGAUGCGGCCUCUUCAUCCAGAGUGGGGGUGAUGUGCCAGCCCCCACCUCGCCGGAAUGCUGGGAGGAGCGUGUCCAGGGAAGGAGCUCACUUUGUCAGCUGUAAUGUGCUGUGACUAUCAUAAAGUUCCUUCCGGGUGCAGAGUGAUACGUGAACCCUGGGGACUCGUUCCAACUUGGUAUUGAUUUUCUCCACGGAAGACCCAGCAGUCACGGCCCGUGUCUGCACAGCCCCUUGGAUCCUGCGGAGGAAUUCAGCCAGCCCCUCCCCGUGCCGAAAACCACGGAGCCAAAGUCAGGCCGGGGUACAGUGAGAACACGGGAGAGGACUGAGAGACCGCCGAGGGAGGCAGAGCGGGAUUCGCACCCCCGUCAUCGCUGGGCCCACACGCCGCCGACAGCUUCCGCGUGUGGCCAUCUGUCUUUCAGAAACCCUCUGGCAGAGGGACCCAGCAGAUGACACGGGGGCCGUUCACACUCUGAAACCUGCUUGGAGUCAAAACACUGCUGGCGAGCCUCCGUGGCAAACCCAACCCAGACGGUCUUCCCUGGUGGCCCUUGGGGUGGUGGGCACCCUGCCCACUCCCUGCCAGCCCCUGCCUGCUGGACUCCAAGCCCGGCCGGGCCCCUGACCGGUCUCCUGACCCAGCACGCUGCUCCCCCUUGGGCCGGGCUUCCCCGCUCGCUAGGACUCCCAGGCCCCUCCAGCCCAGCCCUGAGAGCAGAAGCCCCAAGGGAGGCUUGGCGGCUACGGAGGCGAGUGGGCCACGUGUAGCCGGGAGGCCAGCAGGACCAGGAACACUUCGCGGCGCAGCACCCACAGCAUCACGAGCCACUUCCACUCCCUGGGUGGCCUGGGGGGCCCCACCCCGCUCUGAGCUGCCCCUUGUUGUGACCUGGGGCCCCCUGUGGUGGGCCCGCCCCUUGCCCCUGGGAUCCAGCCUCAGCGAGGCUCCAGAAGUGUCGUCUCUGCCGGCCAGGCGUCAGCGCCUCCACCCAGGAUCACACACUACUAUCUCUGCACUUCUGCCCUCUGUCCUGCUCCACGCCGCCUCUGCUUGUUAUUUUGGCACAUUCCAGGGUGAUGCCUGCUGGAGCCACGCAGCCAGUGCCUCCACCCUACCGCUGACAUGACAUACCGGCCCCUUCCGCAUGCUGGAAGCCUGCCCGGCCUGAAGUGUCCUCACCUGUCGCCCUAUCCUCCCCUCCACCCCAGCCCACCAGUGACUCAGCCCCGAAACCCUCACAGCUCUCUCCUCCCCGAGGGAACCUGUGACUUGGCUCUGAUGGUGCCGGGACCCAGCCCCGGCAUGUUCAGAAUCCUUGUCCUUUAACCUGCGUCCACCUGUGGUCGCCGCCACCUCCCUGCCUGAACCUCCAGGCCCUGCGGAGCAAACACUGCUGCCUUCAGGAGACCCCUGGGGCCUUCUCCGUCCCCUCAUCCUCCUAAGGAGCCUCCCCCGCCACCGCACCAGAAUGUGCCAGAGGAACAGAGGCCCGAGCCUCCCGUGGCCCCAGCGAGGCUUCCUCUGGGGAAGACAGUGAGCCCAACGCCCUGGCUCUCGAGGGGUGGACGGAGUCCAGCUGGCAUCGACCGGGUGCCCCUCUCCACCGGUUUCCACAGUCCUUGAGAGCAAAGAUGGUACUGGCAGUGGAGCAGAGGGCAAGGGUGUGGCAUCUAGAGUCUCCAGGGAGCCACUGUUUGUUGGAGAGGGAGCCUGAAGUGAGCUCCGGACCCCAGCGGGGACAGCGUCCCCUUCCAGCGGGGGCGGCUGAUUGAUCUGCACACGAGCAGGAGGAGUGGCGCCACCCGGGGCUGACCUCGCGGCCCUGCUCACAUCUCGGGGCAUUUUGGCAGACCCACCUAGACCUGGGGGACAGCCUGAUUUCCUGCAGCCAUGAUCCACAAGGGUGGCAGCUCUCUCAGGCUUGAGUUACCAGGACACAGACCUGGGCCAUUUAAUGUGCAGGCAGCCCCAAGUCCCAGCAGGGCCAGAAGCGGAGACGGCGGUUGGGGAUGAAAGUUCGUGCUGGUCCCAGAUGGCGGCUGGGGGUGAAAGCUGCAUGCUGGUCCCUGGGCCCCCUCACUCUGUGAGCUCCUGAGAGGAGGGAAGCCCCCACGCCCCACUGAGUGGAGUGCUCCUUGGCCUGGGACCCCAUCCAGUGUCUGCUGCCAUGGGGGCGGGCUCUGGGCGGAGAGAGGCCAGACAGGCACCCAGGAAAGCUGGAACACAUCCCUCCUGCUUCCCCCAGGGUCCCCAAAGGCAACCUCCCUCCUGCACAGGCAUUUGUCACCCUUACCCUCUAGGACAUCUUUGCCAUGUGCAGUGAACCCCUGGACAAUGUUGCAUGCCACUUCGCCGGAUUUGGGCGGUAUACAGACCGAAGCAUGUGGUAUGAAGCCUUCUGCUGUCAGCCAGUUCCUUGUCCCUCGACAGUAUGUGUCCAGGCUGCCCUUCAAGGUGGCAGUGACGGCAGUUGUCUCUUGCACGUUGCGUACGGUUCUGUCACUGACUCUUACACACAGCCCUGGAGACGGGAGAGUGCUGGGAGCAUUCUAUGCAAGUGUCCUGGCCUGUGCGGGUGUCUCCAUAGCAUAAACACGAGCCGGGGACCACCCCCUCUUCUGCUUCCAUGAUUCCACCAACUGGGUGGGGCAGAGCGGUGCCAGGGCCAGAGGCAUGCCCCGGGUGAGGGCAGGUGGCCAUGCCAGUGAGUGCACUGCGUUCUCAGUUAAUUUAUCCUACAUAUUUCUAAGUUUCUUGAUGAUCGCAGUUGCAGCCCCAAGAGAAUGCCCCCCUCACCAAGUAGAAGGCACAUGUGCUCUGAUGGUCCCUCCCACACUGGGGUCAGGGCACAGCACCGUAGCGAGGCGGCGUGGAGUCUCAGAGGACCUCGGACAACGCUCGGCACAUGGGGCUUCUCCAGCCAGCCAGGGGAAAGCACCCUGCAGACUGCUAACUUUUGCAAAAUAGAGUAAAAAAGAUCAGCUAGAAAAAUAAAACAAAAAAGGAAAGAUAUACAAAA